UAAAAAAAUCAAAAAACAAAAAACCACUGCCAAACAAACACUCAGUUUAAAGACACUUCAGCCUUAAAUAAAAGGCAGAUGGACAAAUUCAUAACUGCCCACCAAUAAGAUUACCAAAAUGCAUUUAAAUUUGCGGAAAGCGACUCGAAAAACUUGCAUAUACAGCCUUCAAAUUCUGUUGAGCUGAAACUUUCAACGUCAUCAUAACUGCAAUCUUUGAUUAAUUGAGGAAUUAAUUAAUUGAGGGAAAAUGGUGAAGAAGAGAGUGAUGUCACCUACAGAUGAAGUUGAUUUGACUGAAGUCAAAUACCAGUAUGAGCAGAUUGAAGCUCCUCAUAUCACGGGAUCAACUUUUGGAUUCUUUGUUAACAUUCUUGAAGCUCCGGUCAUAGGUCCUCUUAUUGUUUCUUACCUGAGAAAGAAGAAUAAUACGGUUGAGCUGCUGAAGAAUACUGUCAUUCCAGAGAUUCCCAUGCAUAGACCUGAGUUCCCUCCCCAAGAACCGGAGCAAAAUGUUUCUGUUAUUGAAGAAACUGGUUGCCCUGAGGACCGUGUGGCAGAAGCCUUAAAGUGUCUCCCAGAAUAUGAUCCUGCUGGCUGUUGGGAUGGUAAUUUAGCAACAUCAUUUCGUUAUUGGAAGAUCCGUGAUUUUGCUUAUGCUUAUUGUGCCAAGCUUGUUACCCCAUCCAAGGUUGCUGAGAAACUAAUCUCAACCUUGGAAGAGUUUGAUAAUACAAAUCCUACUACCCCAUUACUCAUAUCCUGUGAUGUGGAGGAUAUAAGGAAGCAAGCAGCUGCUUCUACUCAAAGAUUUGAAGAGGGAAAUCCUAUAUCAGUUCUAGAUGGAAUUUUCAUGGCAAUCAAGGAUGAUAUAGAUUGUUAUCCACAUCCGUCCAAGGGUGCUACAACAUGGUUUCAUGAAGUUCGUCCUGUUAAGAAGGAUGCAGUUUCUGUCUCUAGGCUGCGCAGUUGUGGUGUAAUUUUGAUUGGAAAGGCAAAUAUGCAUGAAUUCGGUCUUGGGACAACUGGAAACAAUGCUAAUUACGGAACAACAAGAAAUCCACAUGCACAUGAUAGGUACACCGGCGGAUCUUCAUCAGGCCCAGCUGCACUUGUAGCUUCGGGACUAUGUUCAGCUUCUCUUGGGACAGAUGGUGGAGGUUCAGUUCGCAUCCCUUCAUCCCUGUGUGGGGUCGUGGGUUUGAAAACAACGUAUGGAAGAACUGAUAUGAGAGGGUCAUUGUGUGGUUCAGGGACUGUGGAAGUUAUUGGCCCAAUUGCAUCAUCAGUUGAGGAUGCUAUGCUUGUGUAUGCAGCGAUACUGGGUUCCUCUCCUGCAGAUAGAAUUGUCCUAAAACCUUCUCCACCUUGCUUACCCAAUCUGUCAUCUGAAGCCCGGCUCAGUGCUGUAGGGUCAUUGCGACUUGGGAAGUACACGGAGUGGUUCAAUGAUGUGUACUCUACUGAAGUCUCUCAGAAGUGUGAGGAUGUUCUGAAUUGGCUUUCAGAAACUUAUAAUUUCCAAACAGAGGAAAUUACUAUUCCUGAACUGCAUGAGAUGCGCACUGCACAUGUAGUUUCAAUUGGAUCUGAAGCUUUGUGCUCACUAAAUCCAUAUUGCGAAGAGGGGAAUAAUUCAAAGUUGACAUAUGAUACCCGCACAAAUUUGGCACUUUUCCGUUCCUUUUCAGCCACAGACUACAUUGCAGCCCAACGGAUUAGGCGAAGGAUGAUGAACUACCACAUGGAGGUCUUCAAGAAGGUGGACAUCAUAGUGACACCAACCACUGGGUUACCUGAUGCGCUUUGUUGUGGCUGCAAAUCUUCUUGGUUUCCCUGCCAUUUCUAUCCCGAUUGGUUAUGAUGAGCAGGGACUACCGAUUGGCUUACAGCUUAUAGGCCGACCAUGGAAUGAAGCAACACUUUUGCGUUUGGCAUCUGUCAUCGAGGAAUCAUAUGGGAUGACCAAGAAAAGACCAGCUUCGUACUAUGAUAUCUUGAAGGGUGCAUAGAUGGCGUCUCCCAUUUCCGAGUCUCCAGAAUUUACAUUUUAUUUAGAUAUGAUGUUGGGAUGUUAAAGAUCCUAUUCAUGUUGCUUCCUACACAUAAGCGGGUUCUAAUCGGCAUUAUUGUUCUAAUCCAUUGUUUACAAGAUUCAUGUACAUUAUACAUUGCUUCACAUUUGAGUACAUUAUGAUGUAUUGCAUUGAAUAAAAAUUCAUUUGCUUUAUAUGUCUUAUAUAAGUUUCUUUACAAAGAAAUGGAUUGGUGAAUUAAAACUA